rnacentral:rRNA from 1 species
CCUACGGGAGGCAGCAGUAGGGAAUAUUGGACAAUGGGUGCGAGCCUGAUCCAGCCAUGCCGCGUGCAGGAAGAAGGCCUUCUGGGUUGUAAACUGCUUUUGCCGGGGGAUAAAAGACCCAUGCGUGGGGAAUUGAAGGUACCCGGUGAAUAAGCCACGGCUAACUACGUGCCAGCAGCCGCGGUAAUACGUAGGUGGCGAGCGUUGUCCGGAUUUAUUGGGUUUAAAGGGUGCGUAGGCGGCCCCGUAAGUCAGUGGUGAAAUACGGCAGCUCAACUGUCGAGGUGCCAUUGAUACUGCGGGGCUUGAGUACAGUCGAGGUAGGCGGAAUUGACGGUGUAGCGGUGAAAUGCUUAGAUAUCGUCAAGAACACCGAUAGCGAAGGCAGCUUGCUAGGCUGUAACUGACGCUGAGGCACGAAAGUGCGGGGAUCAAACAGGAUUAGAUACCCUGGUAGUCCGCACAGUAAACGAUGGUCACUCGGUGUUGGCGGUACACGGCCAGCGCCUUAGCGAAAGCGUUAAGUGACCCACCUGGGGAGUACGCCCGCAAGGGUGAAACUCAAAUGAAUUGACGG